UGGGGAAUCUUGCGCAAUGGGCGAAAGCCUGACGCAGCAACGCCGCGUGAGCGAAGACGGCCUUCGGGUUGUAAAGCUCUUUUUGAGAGGAUGAGGAAGGACGGUACUCUCAGAAUAAGUCUCGGCUAACUACGUGCCAGCAGCCGCGGUAACACGUAGGAGGCAAACGUUAUCCGGAUUUACUGGGCGUAAAGCGCGUGUAGGUGGUUUGGUAAGUAGAGCGUGAAAGCUCCUGGCUCAACUGGGAGAGGUCGUUCUAAACUGCCGGACUAGAGGAUGGUAGAGGGAGGUGGAAUUCCGGGUGUAGCGGUGGAAUGCGCAGAUAUCCGGAGGAACACCAGUGGCGAAAGCGGCCUCCUGGACCACUCCUGACACUCAGACGCGAAAGCUAGGGUAGCAAACG
rnacentral:rRNA from 1 species